GCCCCCGUGGUGGAGUGGUUACCACUUAACUCUUAUAGAUCCAACCUGUUGGUCUUGGAGAUAUGUUAAGGUCGCCAGUUCGAUCCUGGCCGGGGGCA
rnacentral:tRNA from 1 species